rnacentral:rRNA from 1 species
UACGGGGGGGAGCAAGCGUUGUUCGGAUUUACUGGGCGUAAAGGCGCGCUAGAGCGGUCAGCACAAGUCAGUUGUGAAAUCUCCGGGCUUAACCCGGAAAGGUCAACUGAUACUGUGCGACUAGAGUGCGGAAGGGGCAACUGGAAUUCUCGGUGUAGCGGUGAAAUGCGUAGAUAUCGAGAGGAACACCUGCGGCGAAGGCGGGUUGCUGGGCCGACACUGACGCUGAUGCGCGAAAGCCAGGGGAGCGAACGGG